rnacentral:rRNA from 1 species
AGUAACGCGUGAGGAACCUGCCUCAAAGAGGGGGACAACAGUUGGAAACGACUGCUAAUACCGCAUAAGCCCACGGCUCGGCAUCGAGCAGAGGUAAAAGGAGUGAUCCGCUUUGAGAUGGCCUCGCGUCCGAUUAGCUAGUUGGUGAGGUAAUGGCCCACCAAGGCGACGAUCGGUAGCCGGACUGAGAGGUUGAACGGCCACAUUGGGACUGAGACACGGCCCAG